UACGGGAGGCAGCAGUGGGGAAUUUUGGACAAUGGGCGAAAGCCUGAUCCAGCCAUGCCGCGUGCAGGAUGAAGGCCUUCGGGUUGUAAACUGCUUUUGUACGGAACGAAAAGCCUCUUUUUAAUACAGAGGGGUCAUGACGGUACCGUAAGAAUAAGCACCGGCUAACUACGUGCCAGCAGCCGCGGUAAUACGUAGGGUGCAAGCGUUUAUCGGAAUUACUGGGCGUAAAGCGUGCGCGGGCGGUUUUGUAAGACAGAGGUGAAAUCCCCGGGCUCAACCUGGGAACUGCCUUUGUGACUGCAAGGCUGGAGUGCGGCAGAGGGGGAUGGAAUUCCGCGUGUAGCAGUGAAAUGCGUAGAUAUGCGGAGGAACACCGAUGGCGAAGGCAAUCCCCUGGGCCUGCACUGACGCUCAUGCACGAAAGCGUGGGGAGCAAACAGGAUUAGAUACCCUGGUAGUCCACGCCCUAAACGAUGUCAACUGGUUGUUGGGUAUUCACUGACUCAGUAACGAAGCUAACGCGUGAAGUUGACC
rnacentral:rRNA from 1 species